CCUACGGGUGGCUGCAGUGGGGAAUAUUGGGCAAUGGACGCAAGUCUGACCCAGCAACGCCGCGUGAAGGAAGAAGGCUUUCGGGUUGUAAACUUCUUUUAAGGUGGAAGAGCAGAAGACGUUACCCCUUGAAUAAGCCACGUAUAAGUACGUGCCAGACGCCGCGGUUAUACGUAGGUGGCAAGCGUUUUCCGGAUUUACUGGGUGUAAAGGGCGUGCAGCCGGAGAGACAAGUCAGAUGUGAAAUCCACGGGCUCAACCCGUGAACUGCAUUUGAAACUGUUUCCCUUGAGUGUCGGAGAGGUAAUCGGAAUUCCUGGUGUAGCGGUGAAAUGCGUAGAUAUAAGGAAGAACACCGGUGGCGAAGGCGGAUUACUGGACGAUAACUGACGGUGAGGCGCGAAAGCGUGGGGAGCAAACAGGAUUAGAUACCCGAGUAGUC
rnacentral:rRNA from 1 species